rnacentral:rRNA from 1 species
UACGUAGGGGGCAAGCGUUGUCCGGAUUUAUUGGGCGGAAAGAGCUCGUAGGUGGUUCGGUAAGUCGGAUGUGAAAUCUCCAGGCUCAACCUGGAGGGGUCAUUCGAUACUGCCGUGACUAGAGUUCGGUAGGGGAGUGUGGAAUUCCUGGUGGAGCGGUGAAAUGCGCAGAUAUCAGGAGGAACACCCGUAGCGAAGGCGGCACUCUGGGCCGAUACUGACACUGAGGAGCGAAAGCGUGGGGAGCGAACAGG